rnacentral:rRNA from 1 species
GAUGAACGCUGGCGGAGUGCCUAAUACAUGCAAGUCGAGCGAAGCGGGGACGGGUGAGUAACACGUGGAUAACCUCCUAUAAGAAUGGGAUAACUUCGGGAAACCGGAGCUAAACGGGAUAAAGAUAGAGGGAUAGGAGCUGCAUUAGCUAGUUGGUAAGGUAACGGCUUACCAAGGCAACGAUGCAUAGCCGACCUGAGAGGGUGAUCGGCCCCAGUGGAACUGAGACCCGGUCCAGAUUCCUACGUGAGGCAACAGUAUUGAAUCUUCCGACAUGGGCGAAUGCCUGACAGUGCAACUCCGCGUGAGUGAUGAUGUUCUUCGGAUCGUAAAACUCUGUUAUUAGGGAAGCUUUCCCUCCUCGGAAAGCCACGGCUAACUACGUGCCAGCAGCCGCGGUAUUCC